UUCCCUGUGGACCAUACUCACUAUGGGGGACACGGGGGCCCAUGGCAGGGUUCAGGGGAAGCUGGGGGCCUGGCACCCAGGGCACAGCUCUGUUCAUCCAGCUCCUCUCCUGACUCACGGGAAAUGCAGAGGAAAAGGGGGCGCCAGACACCUGAAGGGAACAAGAGGGCAGCCAGGGGAGGCAGGAGCUCAGAGCCCAGUUCCAGGGACGUUCCAGACCCACGAUCCAGGACACACAGAACGGGGAUUUGGGCUGAGGGGCCUGAAGACAGCCCUGGAGUCCCACCUUUGCCGCAGGAUGCUGAACAUUCCGAGUGCCCCACUUGCUUCCAGUAUCCGGCUGCAGACCCCAGGGAUGUCCUGGCAUGAGUCAGAGCAGGCACUUGGGGAAUUCGAACCUGACGCUGGAGGGUGCCUGGCGCCCGAACUGGGCGGGGAGCUGAAGCACGCAGGGGCUCCCCCUUCAGCAUCUCUGCAGGGGAGUCCAGGAGCCAGAUCAGAUGCCUCCCUGCGACCCCGGAGCCCCGUCACAGCCUCGCCCUCCUCUCCUGGGUCGGGGGAUCCUAGUUUUACCCGGCUGAAGUUGAAGGGCUGGAGGCUUCGUGGAGGGACUCUCUAGGACGGCAGGAGGGGAAGCGAUGACGUACUGGUAAAAAACCCCGGGAUUGUCCUCUUGAAAGAUCAUCUGAGGAGAGAAGAUACAAAUAAACGUCUGGGGUGAGGAGAGGGGCGUAGGCCACAUCUCUCCCCGACGUGACCCCGCUGCUCUACCCUCGGGGGCCUCCCCCCUACAGUCCAGUGCCCCACCGCCCGCCUCAGGCUCACAUAGACAUCCACAGGCUCGGUGGUGGGGCCCUCGGCUGCCAUGCUCUCCCCCUUGCCUUCCUCCCGAGGAGGACGGCUGUACUGGAAGACAGUCCCGACGGCCGAAUAGGACCCGGGGGGGUCCACUGCCCAGUUUCCGUUGAUAAUGGAGCGGCCCCCAGGCCCUCGAAGUGCUGGAAGACAGAAACCUGAGCUGAGUGACCGUGGUAAUUGGAACUGGGUCGGAGCUGGGAAAUCUGAAGGCGGGAGGCUCCCGCAGGGAUCCACAGUAUCUUCUGAUAGCCCAAGGGGCCCCCUCGCUCCGUGAGGUUUCCCGAAACGAGCUGACAGGCAGAGCCGUCACCGCCACAGACCCCACAGCCAUCCGGACGCCUGCCAGAGCCAAGGAUCCCAUCACAGCCGGGGCUCUGGGGAAAGUGAGGCAGCGUCCUGCCACACAAAUGUCUAGGGAUCCAGGCUGACACAGGGUCCCAUCCUGGACCUUUUCGGUGUGACGGACAUAGAACCGGAAGCCACGGGGACGGCAGUUCAGCUCACAGCGCUGGGAACCCUGAACUAAGGGAUGAGAUAGAAGAUAGCCGGGGUCCCUAAAGGAGGAGGCCCUCAGAGCCCUGGCGGCCAUCUGCCUUAUUACAUGGGGGCAUCCUGAAGCUGCUGUGGAAGGAGGGGCAAUUUCCCAGGCUGGGGGUUUUUAUGUUUCUUGUUUUUGUUAUGCUAUAUGGCCUCAAGGUUAUGAAUUUUGCUGAUUCUCCUACCUCAUUCUCCUAAAAAGGGGGAAGUUCUGCACCUGACCAUCAAAAAGGAUUUUUUGUUGUUUAGUUUUAUGUGUGUAUAGGAGUGGGAUGCUCAUGUGGGAGUCAGGACAAUCUGUAGGAGUGGGUUCUCUCCUUCCAUCGUGGGUCUGGAGACCAAACUCAGGUCAUCAGGCUUGAGGCAAGCUCCUUUACCCACUGAGCCAUCCUACCUUUCCUCAAAAGGGUUUUUGACCCCUGUGAUUAUGAGUUCAUAGCCCAUGAAGGUUUGUCUUGGUGUCAAGCUGACAUAGGCCCAAAUCCGAGUGGACAGGAACUUGGGAGCAACUGAUAUGAUACCAUGAAUACCCUGCUGGGACCAGUGAACUGAUCACAUUCGCAUCCCCUCCUGGAUCACAGCCAACAGGCAUCUCUACAGCUCCCCCUCCCAGCCCGCCUCCUGUCCUGACCACCCACCCAUGACUAUCUAAAAGCUCCUCCCUUCUCUAGGCUAUUGCUGAGACUCUAAGACACAGGAGGAAGAGGGGGGCCACCCCAACCUGAGUCAGCCCAGCCAGGGGGACGAGAAACUGCACCUUCAGUGAAGGGCUCCCACUGGUACAGCUGGCCCAUGAAUUCCUGGGAGUCAAAGGCGGCACACUGCAGGGCCCGGGGGUCUGGCUGCUCAGGGGGGCAAGGCUGAGGAGGCAGAGACACAGGCAUCAGGCAGGGCUGGAGAGGAAAACUGGGGUGCGGGCCAGCUCCACAGAACACCACCCUUGUGUCCGAGUCCACAAGCUGAGGACUCGGGUCCGGGGACAUCCUUGGAAGCCCAGGCCAGGAGACCCAGAGAAGAGCUCACCUCUUGGCUACAGGCUCUCAUCUGCUCACUUUCUCCAGAACACUUUGGAACAGGGCUACUGGGAGCAAAAAGGCUCCAGAGGGGGCUGGAGUCUCUUGUCAGGGGCAGCCAGCCAUCUGGGGACCUGUGAGAACUCCCUCGGGGUCUCCAGUGCCCCCUGCUCUGCUGGCCUCCACUCCGAGGCACAGACGGUAAAGGAUGAGGGCGUCGCCCUGCUCCCUGGGGACUGUUCCAACUGCGAGAGGAGGUUGGCAUUCGUGGCCCAGGGGAUCCCUGGGAAGACCUACUGUCUCCAAAGGAGGAUGUGGGUGAGGGGAUCUCUGUGUCAGAGGGAGCAGGACUGCUUCUGGGGGACACCUCCGUCUGAGCACUUCCAGGCCCUGGGGUUUCAGCGGGGGGAGAGUGGGGGUCGAUAUGCAGUUCAGGAAGCGGCGUGUGAGGGCUGUGGUUUGCAGAGGCCUGCUCUGUGCUUGGAGGCCGGGAUGGAAGGGUCUCAUCCCCUGUAGAGGAGUUCUUGGGUUGCUCAGGUCUGCGGGGGUGCCUGCGGCUCCGGUGCAGUGGCAAGGCAAAAGGCACUCUCCCAUAACCAAACAUCCCUGGCUUGAUCGGGUCUCGAACCCGGGACCUGAGAGGAUGAUGCAGACUUAGAGUCAUCUCUUAGCCUGUCUCCCCAGUCCCUGUCCUGAAAGAUCAGCCUGCAGAGGUGAAGCCCCCUUGCCCCUUUCUGUUAACCCCACCCCUCCCUGUUCUGCUCUGCCCUCCUCGGGGCCUCACCUCUGGGCCCCUGGAGUCCCUUCAGGCUUCUCUCUCCCCAGCUGGGAAGCAGGACCUUGAAGAGGAACACCCCUUCCCCGAGGCUGUGGCCUGUACAGGGACUGGGGGUCCCGGGGAGUCUGGGGUCUGGGCCGGAGGGCUUCUGGAUGUCUUGGGGGUCGGGGAGGGAGGGAUAGGCUUGGGUGCAGGUCACAAGUUCGGCUCCUUCGCUGCACCCCCACCCCACAAGGCUGGGAGCAGGGGGCCCACCGGCCCCAAUGUCCCCAGAGGCCCUCAGGGGCCUGGCCCUCCUCUGAUGGUGUCUGAAGAGAAGGUCCAAACAGCUACAGAGGGGGAAAGGUCAGAAUUAGUGUCAAGGUUCAAGGGUUGUUAGUUGUCCAAGGUCACAUGUACUGGUAGGGUCGGACUCCAGCCUUUUCCGUGUUAUUUAACUAAAAGAGGGCAUUGGCAGGGAGACUGGGUGGGCCAAGCCACGGGGCUCAAGUCUCCCAGCGGGGACAGGGGAGGCCAGGGCAGAGCAGAGGGACCCUGCGCAGGGUGGCAGUGGCUUCCUUGGUGAGGGCUCACCUCCUGAUGCCGGCCGAGCUGAAGGAGAGGCAGCAGCGGCAUCACACACAGCCAGAGCCUGCACAGCAAGGGGUGGGGACAUCAGACGGAGCCAGAAAUGUUACGCCAUUACCCACCCCCACCCAGGCUCCCCACGGCCUGGGUCGCCAACUUCUCAGGAAGCACCAGUUCCUGGUCACUUUCCAGGCCCCUUCUAACAAUCCCUUACCCUCUCUUCUUCUCUUCUUUUGGUUUUUCAAGACAGGAUUUCUCUGUGGAGCCCUGGCUGUCCUGGAACUCUCUCUGUAGGCCAGGCUAGCCUCGCACUCAAAGAGAUCCACCUGCCUCUGCCCCUGGAGUUUAAGGCACGUGCCACCACUGCCCGGCCCGUUCCUGCUCUUACUGUUAGAGACAGAGCUGUUCCUCUGCACCACGGCCCUUGAUCUUACCUGCCCAGCCAGGUCUCCAUUGCUCUUCCCUUGACUGUCCCCGGGCUAGGGGACAGGGGACAGGAUAGCUACUCUGGCAUCUGGGCACGGAGGGUACUCUGAGGAGGAAGAAGCAUCGUGGUUACCCCUCCAGAUAGCCGGGAGACUGAAGGGUUGUCUCGGCACAGCGCCAGCGGAGUGGAGGAGAAGACUGGUCCACCCUUUAGGACCUAAGGGUGGGAGCAAUAAGGAACGCUGUCUUUGCCAUCUGCUGAGGCGAGGGGGGAGGGUGGGGGUCUGACCUCAGCCUUCGAGUUCAACUUAGUCCCUCCCUGCGGCCCAAGACAGGCUUAGCUCCUCUGGAGGCCUGAGGAGGCGCAGUGCUCAGCCAGCUCGAACCAGGAGGGUCUCUCUCCCAGAGCUACUGGACCUAGAGGAGGCAGGCUAUGCCAGGCGCCCCCGUGAGGGGCCAGCCAGAGGGCCCUUGGCACCAGGUGUGGGGGCAAAAGCCUUAAUCCCACCCUUUGGGAUGGGGAGCAAGAGGAUCAGGAGUUCAAGGCCAGCCUGGCUGACAGGAGAUCCCUACCUCAAAAAAACAAAACAAAACAAAACUAACCUCCCCCUCCCCUGCUCCCCCCAAAAUAAUAAAACAAAACAAAAAACCCGAGUUUUUGUUUCCUACCUCUCCCAGGGCUUCCUUCCCCUCUUAGCUAAAGCUCCUUAUGAAGGAACAGUCAGGCGCAUCUGGCCUACCACAGGCACUUUUUUGUCCAAGGGAUAAACUAAGUGGGCUAAUGGCUUCAUCUCUAGAGAGAAGGCAGUGGCUUAGCCUCCCUGUGGGUGCCAGCGUCCACUAGGCAUUGGCUCAUGGCGACUUAGUUCAUGUACAGCUAGUUUUCUUCUUUUUAUUUUUUCUUCCGAUGCUCAGCCAAAAUGGCUGGGCCCCUCGGAAGGCCAUAGCUGCUCAGACUUCCCAGCCACCAGCUUCUCCUUCUGGUCUACCCGGGAAGUCCACCCCGAAGUCUAACCUUGAACACUGGGUAGCGAGGGGCUUCCAUACCCUGUCCUCAAAGUCUGUCUCUCCCGACUCCCUGCCCUCCAGCCCCUUCUUCUCUCUGAGGCCCUUCCCACCCACACCCAUCAUCCCAUCUCAGUUCUGCUUUCCAGGAAAAACACUGUUUCUGUUGGAUCUGAAUGGCAGGCACCACCAGAGGAAUCCGAGGAUCCGGCCAAGGUAGGCCAGCUCAGGGCAGGCAAAGGACGAGGGAACUAAAUAAAGCAGGGUCCUGCUCCCUCCCACUCCCCAGGACCCCAGGACCUGGGAAUUUGAAGAAGGAAACAAGGUGACUGAGCCCUCCCCUUCCCCUUGCUGGGCCAGCCACUGAGGCCCACAACAGCCCUGUUGGAACAGGAGCCAUGUUCAAGCCACCCAUCCACCGUCUACCUGCCUGCCUUAGGCUGGAAGGGGUGAUGGGCACAACCUGUCUCUUCUCCGAUGCUGGUCCCCUUGGCACCUCCCUCUGCGUCUCUCUGCUCCCCCAGGUCUGUCUCUGCUGCCUCUCGUGGUCUACCCAGUACACAUAAUCCUGUCCUGAGCUGGCUUUGGCAGCUCUCUGGAGAAGUGAGGGGUGGGGGGUGACGAGAGCUCCUGGGGCCAGGGCCAGGCCUGGCUCCCUCUCUGGAAAAGUCCACCCCACCCUCCCCUGCAUAGGGGAGCAGGCGCCAUGUAUGCUUGUUGUCCCUUUUCACACCCAGGGUGAGGAAGACAGAAGUUGGAGGUGGGCACCCCCGAAGUCAAGGUGGACCCUGCCUCUCCCGACAGGCUGAGCUGUGCGAGGAGCACUCACCCGCGUCCCUCCCAGACACCCUGUCCCUGCGGUCCCGGAGUGCAGGCGUCGGGGCGCAUCCUCCCGAAGCCCCGCGGGCGGGGAGAAGCGGGCGGCGCUGGCGUGCAGGGAGGUCCCGUAUGUUUUCCAACUUCACUAUGUGACUUAACAGGAAUCUUGGCUCAAGCCCUCGCCCGGGUGAUGGGACCAGACCCCCUCCCCAGGAAUUCGCCCCAGGGUCCGCUGUUCCGUGACCAUCAGAGCCCAGGCGGGGGUCGGGGAGGCUCUACCUUCUCUGCGCCCGCUCUCUCCAG